ensembl:snRNA U6 U6 spliceosomal RNA
GUGCUCGCUUCGGCAGCGCAGAGACUAAAAUUGGAAUGAUGCAGAGAAAAUUAGCAUGGCCCCUGCGCAAGGAUGACAAAUUCAUGAAGCGUUCCAUAUUAAA